UACGUAGGGUCCGAGCGUUGUCCGGAAUUAUUGGGCGUAAAGGGCUCGUAGGCGGUUUGUCGCGUCGGGAGUGAAAACACGGGGCUUAACCCCGUGCCUGCUUCCGAUACGGGCAGACUAGAGGUAUGCAGGGGAGAACGGAAUUCCUGGUGUAGCGGUGAAAUGCGCAGAUAUCAGGAGGAACACCGGUGGCGAAGGCGGGUCUCUGGGCCGAUACUGACGCUGAGGAGCGAAAGCGUGGGGAGCGAACAGG
rnacentral:rRNA from 1 species